rnacentral:lncRNA from 1 species
UACUCGUUUCGGGGUCCGAACACAGCUUCACAGUGCGCCUACAGGCUGUCCCUAAUUUUCUCUGAAUUUUUUUCAGGGAACUGAAACGCACUACUGGUACCUGCACGUGUUCCAAAAAAUCCCAAAUUAGGCCCAGGGCCCCUUUUUGGCCAAUAUCGCAAUUCCGGCACAGCGGCUCCGUCGUGCUCCGGCAAGCGGCGGCGAUUCACCUCGGUUUGGCCGUUUUCGGCCGAAU